AGAGUUUGAUCAUGGCUCAGAACGAACGCUGGCGGCAUGCCUAACACAUGCAAGUCGAACGAGAUCUUCGGAUCUAGUGGCGCACGGGUGCGUAACGCGUGGGAAUCUGCCCUUGGGUACGGAAUAACUCAGAGAAAUUUGUGCUAAUACCGUAUAAUGUCUUCGGACCAAAGAUUUAUCGCCCAAGGAUGAGCCCGCGUAGGAUUAGCUAGUUGGUGAGGUAAAAGCUCGCCAAGGCGACGAUCCUUAGCUGGUCUGAGAGGAUGAUCAGCCACACUGGGACUGAGACACGGCCCAGACUCCUACGGGAGGCAGCAGUGGGGAAUAUUGGACAAUGGGCGAAAGCCUGAUCCAGCAAUGCCGCGUGAGUGAUGAAGGCCCUAGGGUUGUAAAGCUCUUUUACCCGGGAUGAUAAUGACAGUACCGGGAGAAUAAGCUCCGGCUAACUUCGUGCCAGCAGCCGCGGUAAUACGAGGGGAGCUAGCGUUGUUCGGAAUUACUGGGCGUAAAGCGCGCGUAGGCGGUUUUUUAAGUCAGAGGUGAAAGCCCGGGGCUCAACCCCGGAAUAGCCUUUGAAACUGGAAAACUAGAAUCUUGGAGAGGUCAGUGGAAUUCCGAGUGUAGAGGUGAAAUUCGUAGAUAUUCGGAAGAACACCAGUGGCGAAGGCGACUGACUGGACAAGUAUUGACGCUGAGGCGCGAAAGCGUGGGGAGCAAACAGGAUUAGAUACCCCGGUAGUCCAA
rnacentral:rRNA from 1 species